UGAUUUCAUUGGUCAAGUCUGAGUCUGUGAUACCGUGGUUUGACCAAUCAGGAAGCGCCGUCAGUGUCAGGCCAUGCCGCCAGUCCGCGCGUGGGACAGGGACGCAGCUGUGCGCAUCCAGGUGAGGCUGUUACCUGACGGGCAGUAGAAUAAGAACUGACGCGUCUGUGAUCCUCAAACCCGAACGUUAACCGGAGAAACCGAAACCUACAAGAACUAAUUCUAGUCUUAAAGACCCGCUCCAAUAAAAACGGUGUUUUUGGUGUUUUUAAUGGGUUUUUGGGACAUUUUCCUUAUAAUAUGAAUCUUCUGUUUUUAAAGCGCCUCUCAAGGAACUCAUGGACACUGAACAAAAAAAGUCAGUCGGUUCAAAAAUAUUAAUUAAAAACAAUAAAUAACAACUGACAAAGAAUCUAAAGCGAAUCAGAAUGAAAACUAUGGCGUUUCAUAUCUGCCAUAAAGUGAAAGGCCGUAAAGACAACUGAGCAAACGAGUUUUGAGUUCAGAUUUGAACGUUUAUAAAGAGUCUAUGAUACAGAGGUCUUGGCUUCCUGUGGUAAUGAGUCGGGCCGGAGGAACAGAGAGGUGGACAGAAGAGAACGAGAGGGGGAUUUAAUAUGGAGUAGGUGGGAAUGAUGAGGAGGAGCCAGGUUAUGGAGGGCCUUAAAGGUGAACAGCAGGAGUUUGAAUUUGAUUCUGGAGGUAAUGGGAAGCCAGUGCAGCUGGUGGAGAACCGGGGUGAUAUGACUGAAGGAGGAGGUUCUGGAGAUGCUGCUGAGUUCUGGACCAGUUGAAGCUCAUUGAGGGUCUUUUGAGGGAGACCAAAGAGGAGGGAAUUCCAAUAAUCUAAGCAGGAAGUGACCAGACUGUGGAACAGACAGAAGGAGAGUGGGCGGUGAGGGAGGGGCAUAGGCGAUUAAUGUAAGUAAAAAUGGGCAGACCGAGCAAUGUUAUUGAUAUGAGACAGAAAAGAUAAUGAACUAUCCAGGAUGACACCCAGACUCUUCACCUGCGGGGAGGGAGACAGAAGAUGAGUCACUGGAAAGAGUGAAACUUGUAGCUUUGAGAGGGUGGAUUUUGAACCGACAAAAAGUUGUAGUUCGGUUUUACCACUAUUGAGUUUCAGAGAGUUUAAGGUGAACCAGUUUUUGAUUUCAGAUGGACAGGAGGGGAUGGAGGAAGGUGGAAGAGAGGAGUCAGGUUUGCUAGAUACAUAGAGCUGGGUGUCAUCUGCAAAACAAUGAAACUUUAUUUUAAAUUUACGGAAAAUCUUGCCAAGGGUUACAGGACUUAAAAAAGAAGAGGACCAACGACAGAACCUUGGGGCACACCAGAAGAAGGCUGAGGUUUCAAUUAUUUAAAUUGAAUGAAUUGGGUCCUGAGAGACUGGAUUGGAAGCAACAGAGGGGGGUGGAGGGGAUGCAGAUGGAGGAGGAAGGUGUGAGAAAUGGUAUCAAAGGCCGCACUCAGAUCGAAGAGGAUGGGAAUGGUGAGGAGGCCAGUGAUCUUCAGCAGGGCAGUUUCAGUGCUGUGGGAGGGGCAAAAACCAGUCUGCAAAGGUUCCAGGAGAUUAUUUUGUUUAAAGGGAUCCUAAAGUUGGGAGGCAACUAUUUUUCUAGGAUUUUAGAAAUCAGGAGAAGGUUAGAAAUUGGACGGAGAUUACUAAAUAAAUUGGGAACUGAACCGGGUUUUUCAGGAUAUGUUCAACAGCUGACGUUCUAAAACGUUAUAGGACAAUACCAGAUGGUAGUGAGGAGUGAAUAAUGGCGGAAAUAAGCAGAAGGAGAUGAGGAGACAGGCUAAGGGAGGGGAUCAAGAUAACAGGUGGAGGGUUUGGAUUUUAAGAUGAGGGAGGAAAUUUCAUUGUGAUCAGUUAUAAUAGACAUUUAUAAAUUAUCAAUAUUAAUAAAAAAAACUACAAUCACCAGGCCAAAGUCUCCCUGCUCUAUUCUGAUGCAUCCACUGUCAGACAAAUAGAUCCAUGAACGUCUUUGUUUUCUUCCUUCGAGCUGGAAUCUGUAUAUAAACUGUACGGCUGGAUUGCUCUGAUAUUGCCGCCAUUUUUGUUGCAGCGCUAACAUUAGGCUGGAGUUGUGAGCAUUGACUGGACAGUAUAAAACUGGACAAUCAAGCGUGACACCAUCCAAAAAAAAAAAAAAAAACUUGAUUCCAGCUUUAACGAAUCAAAGUCGAUGCAGUCGCCAUUUGUCUGCGAUAUGUUGGAACCAGAUGUCCUCAGUAAGCCGUGAUUGGUCCAUCUACAUUUCUAUGGCAACCACUCUCUCCAAUCAGGAAUGAUCGUGUUAGAAGGCCACGCCUCUUCUACUGAAAGUGACCAAGGAAGAAUCUGCCAAUCAAAUACUUCCAAUGUGAAAGGCCACCUACUUAUAUUGAGGCAUCUGAUUGGUCACUUUUUAACUUUUAUAAUUUGUACUACAGCAAAAAUAGGAAAAAAUAAGGAUUAUCGAGAAGAUGGUUAAAAAAAAGGCACCAAAUCAAGAAUAUUUCUUCUGACCAAUAUUUCUCUAUAGAAGUCUACAGGAUUUCUGCCUUUUGGGAUCAGCGGGUGCUUCCUGUUUGGAAGACAACAGUCCAAUUGUCCUUCACUGUCAAUGGUUGUGAGGGGCUGUAAGCUAGUGGGAGAGAGUGCAAACAGAUGGAUGAUGGGAAAUGAACACAGAUUCACUCUGCGCCAGCAGUCCCACCCACAACUCAGAGGUGAAUUUCUGCUGAAGUCCUGCUGCUCUGCAGAAACUAUGUCCUAGAACAGCACAGGCUAAAAACAGCCUCUGUUAGUGACAUUAAAGGCUUUUCUAUUCUAACUUAUUUUUGAUUGUAGUGGACGCAGCUCCAUAUCAACAAGAACCAAAAUGAAGGGCUCUAUACAAUCCUUCAGUCCCUCUUUUCUCUGGACUUCCCUGAGCAGCCUCCCAUCUGAAAACUGCUCCACAUUCACAGCCUUUCAGACCAGAAUGAGAAUGCCAGGAAUAGACGGCCGCUCCAUCAGCGUGAAUUUAUUCCUGAUGAUAAACCAAUCGAUGACAUCUGUGUGGAGGUUCAAAGUGUCUGACAAAUGCAGGCAGAAAUGUCGGCGCUUGUGUCUAGUUUGUCCAUAAAUGCUCAGAGAAAUUGCUUUGACAAACAUCCCUGCUCUCUCCUCUCCCUCCUCCACACACACACACACACACACACACACACCCACACUAAAGUGGUACCCUCCGAACACAUUAGACACAGAGAGGGUGGGGCGCCACUAAAGAUUUCUUAAUGGGCUCUGCUGUCCUCUUGUCCAUCUUCCUUGAUGGUAAACACGCAGCUUCUCCACUCUGGCCUGAAGGACGCUAAAGCCUUCCUUCUUUUUCCCCAACAAAGCAUCCCUUCUCAGACUUUUGGACGGGACCUCAAGGACUGGCAUCAGGACUCGAGGAUUAGGGGAAUUCGAUCAGGAAUGUGAUUGGAAACGAUGGGAAGCAAACCAAAUUUCUGCGAGGAAUUACUGGUUGUGGGAUCUGAUCAUUAGUGUGACUUUUGGUCUGUAUGGGGAGCGAUUUCUAUGUUAGUGUCUACAGGAGAGUGGCACCAUCCAGCUGUGUACAGCAGUAACAUCUGAGAGUGCUGGAGGAGGAUGCCUUCCCUGCAUCAUGGAGCAAUCUUCAUCGGAUCCUUCCUCAUCGCGACCGGGGGCUCCACAGCCUUCAUGGUCUCCCAGCAGAACCGGCUGCAGGCUUUUUCCCUCUGCUGUGUGGUUCUGGGGGUCCUCAUGCUCAUCCUCGGGUUAUUUUGGGCCAUGAACAACAAAAAUGCAGCAAACUACAACCAUCAGGAGUUUGAUCCAGAGUGUCCUCAUUACCCGUAUAACGGCCAGGCCCUCUUCUCCCCCCCAGGAAACCGGUUUCCAGAGUCCCAGUCUGUGUUUCUGCCCAGGACAAUGGAGCAGCACAGGAGAGGUGGAGAGGAUUUUGAUUAUCCCCCCAUGGACUCUGCUGGUUUUAGUCCAACGCCCCACCCUGCUCUGUGGAUGGGACCUCCACCUCCCUAUGAAGUUGCCAUUAAGACCACAUGCAGCUCUACACACCUGCGGCGGGCAUACUCAGACACACACCUGGCAACAGAACCCUUGUUCGGACAAUCCAGAGAAAUCAGCUUUGAGGUGUGACUGAAUGAAGAUGGCUUCUCACCGUUUCUGUGCACCGGGUCAGAUGACAGAGGGGCAGCAGUCUGCACAGUAGUUUUAUUCUUCACAUUGGGCAUGUUCAUGUCUCUGUUCUUGCAUGCUUUCCUGAAAAUUCCGUCCAGGUGUUCAUCGCUAAGGCAAACAUUGACAAUAAUGCCUGGUCCUGUCUGAGAAAAACGAGGAUUUCAGCCGACAGGCAGCUUAUAAAAAAUCAGGAACAAGUUAAAGUGAUAGAGACGUCAAAACACUGCUGGUCUCUAACGUUGCAAACAUGCAGCUGCACUUUGCCUGGUAGGUUGCACUGAAAAUGUAAAGUUGUCACAUCACAUCCUCACAUCAUGAGCCUCUUUUGUAAACCUCUGAUCCAGGAAAUCUUGAGAGAACUUGGAGCAUGCUCAGUGAGGUCAGUGAGCUGCAUUUGAAGGCUUUCAGGUACCUGUCAGGUAAAUCUCUACACCCUUGUGUACAUUCAUCUUUGGGGAAAACCAUACAAAUAUAUGAGCUGGCAGGCUUCAAGUAAAAGUAAAGUUACUACUAAAUACUACUCACGGGAAAGAAGCAAAUGUCCUGAUUACUCCAAAGAGACUAAACAAAUGUAAAAAAUCCCCAACCCAGACCAAAAUAAAAGUUGUUUGAAAUGUAUGACUAAAAAUCCAAAUGUUGACUUUCAAAUGGAUCAAUGCCGUCAGGAAUCAGGCAGAUAAGAAUACAAGGCCCAAUUCUGGGAUUUCUAAAUACAAUGAUGAGAUAACUUAUCAAAGGGCCAGCUUUUAAGCGUAUUAUAAUGUUUAUUCCUCACUGUAAACAAUCCCAAAAACGGUAUUUUGAUCCAUUUAUGCAUUUCUGAGGAAGAGUCUGCGCUGCAAGCCCCGCCCCCUGGCCAACACAAACACCCACUUUCUCCAUGGAGCUAGCGGUGAUCGGCUAAACGUUUUCAUUUUACAUGCACAAUAUGCACAUUUAUCUUUGCAAAAGUUCAGAUGUUUGUUUUUGUGGGCGAAAUCCAGACACACUACCGAGGCUGACUCUAGGAUGACAUCACGAAAUAGGCGGCACCCAAAGGGAGCGAUAGGCGGAGCCUCAUAGAUCGAGUCGUCUUACUUCCAGGUUGGAAAAAAGCUCAGGAUAAUAACAACUCAUAUUUCAUUAAAAAAACUAAUUUUUUGUGUUCCAAAGGUAAUAUAUUAUCAUGUAUAUGAAUAUAGUUUACUAUAAAAGGCUUAAGAAAAGCAUAAUAGGGGGCCUUGGAAAAUAACUACUGUAGUCUUUUUAUUCAGCAAUCGGUUCAUUUCUGUUUCAAAUGUUACAUGAAAGAAAUAAAAGAUGUAGCCAAUGAGUAGUAGAGGUUUUUCUAUCAAAAAUCUACUGGAGGGAAAACUACUCUCAGGAGUCUCAUUUUGACAAUAAUGUACUUAAAAGAAUGUAACCGAGUACACGUGACCGUUUGCUGCUCAACUCUGGAUAAACGGAGGCAUUAACGAAUGACCAGUUUAGUUUUUUAAAGUGCUUCAUUCCGGAAGCUCACUGCACAGGACUGAAGCAAUAUUUCAGAUUUUCCGCCUUAGAAAACGGGAGGAUGCGGUCAUUCUAACCGUUAAUUCCAUGAACGUUUAGGGCGGAGCUAAGUACUGUGAUACAUUUUGGAUGAGUCAACAGGACCAAAACAAAGAUUGGAGGUCUUUGCCUUCCCAGAAGACUAGUAGGCAGCAGCUUCACUUCAGUACCUCUGAUUUGAGGUGCUGGAGCUCCGUGAAACCUGCGGAGCCUGAAAUGAUGUCAACACCACCACCCCCACCACCCCUCCCCUGAAUAGACUUCACUUCACAGACUUGCUGAGUUUUAACCUGCGUUGUUCCCUGAUUUUUGCUGUUUCCCCGGGGAAUGAUAGAAUUUAAACAAAUGGGUUCAAAGGAAGAGGAGGGUGUGUCAUGUGAUCAGCUUCCACCACUGAGGGAGCAGCUGCUGAAGUCAAACCGUGACUCUGCAGGGAUCAACAUUAAUCUCCUCAGGAGCCUUUCAUCUCUCUGAGCCCGUUCAAGACCGAUGCAGUCGUUUUGGGUCAUUAUUGGUGUGUUGAAGGAACAUGUCCAUGUCUUCAGGACGUUUGCAGGCUCAUGUUAUUCCGCACCUACUUUGAAUUUUCACAGCAGAAGCACAACUGACUCAAAGAUGAAUCACGAGAACCAAAGGUCUUUGCAUUAUACCUACAUACGCAUGCAUGUGUGACUGGCAGCUUUAUUAAUGGCAAAGUGGAUGUACAGGACGUUGACGAGUGUACUGAACUUUGUAUAAUAAAUGGAAGCUGCAGGA